rnacentral:rRNA from 1 species
AUUGAACGCUGGCGGCAUGCGUAACACAUGCAAGUCGAACGGUGUUUGGUGCUUGCACCAGACAUAGUGGCGGACGGGUGAGUAAUGCGUAGGAAUCUGUCUUAGAGAGGGGGACAACCCGAGGAAACUUGGGCUAAAACCGCAUAUUCUCGAGAGAGGAAAGCAGGGGACCGGAAACGGCCUUGUGCUCUAAGGUGAGCCUACGUCGGAUUAGCUAGUUGGUAGGGUAAAAGCCUACCAAGGCGAUGAUCUGUAGCUGGUCUGAGAGGACGGACAGCCACACUGGGACUGAGACACGGCCCAGACUCCUACGGGAGGCAGCAGUGGGGAAUAUUGGACAAUGGGGGGAACCCUGAUCCAGCGAUGCCGCGUGUGUGAAGAAGGCCUGCGGGUUGUAAAGCACUUUCAGUGGGAAAGAGAAGCGUCUUGUGAAUAAUGGGACGUGGAGACGUUACGUCACAGAAGAAGCACCGGCUAACUCUGUGCCAGCAGCCGCGGUAAUC